GGGGGCAUAGCUCAGUUGGUAGAGCGGCUGGUUCGCAAUCAGCAGGUCAGGGGUUCGAAUCCCCUUGCCUCCACCA
rnacentral:tRNA from 1 species